rnacentral:sRNA from 1 species
GUCGGCUGAUCGGACAUCUCGUCGUCCAGGACCCUGAACAGCCCCCCAGCCCCCCUUGAUCGCGGGCCGGUCGGCCGACAGACCUAAACCCCUCCCCUACCGAGCCCGCGCGGUCUUCCCCCCCCCAACCGCGCGGGCU